CACAUGUCUGAGCACACAUAAGGGACUCUGUGAAUAUGUGUGUAUUUGUUGUGUGCAUGCCCGCAGAAUGGGAUACAGAGACUCACUCUAUUCAUCAGGGAUUUGUUUUAAUCAGGAAUUGGCAGGCAUGGGAAGAGCACGCUGUCCAGGGUCGGCAAGGCCUGGAAAUGUCAGAGCAUCAGAAUACUGAAAAUAAAAGACAUGGUUAAAUCUAUUUUGGUGGCGAGGCUGGGGACACUGGGAAUAUGAUACUGAUCAAUCUAGAAUGUGUGGAGGAGUGGACAGCAGUUUUUAAUCAGACAAGACCUUCAACCCCGGCACAGACCAUCAAUUGGCAGGUUCUCCUGGGACAUGGACGUGGUGCAUGGGGCUGCGUUCACCUGUGGUGGGGACAUGUCAACUCGUUCUGGGGUUUCAGGGCUCCACUUGAACAGAACCAGUUCUCGUGACA
rnacentral:lncRNA from 10 species